rnacentral:rRNA from 1 species
GACGAACGCUGGCGGCGUGCUUAACACAUGCAAGUCGAACGGAAAGGCCCUGCUUUUGUGGGGUGCUCGAGUGGCGAACGGGUGAGUAACACGUGAGUAACCUGCCCUUGACUUUGGGAUAACUUCAGGAGACUGGGGCUAAUACCGGAUAGGAGCUCCUGCUGCAUGGUGGGGGUUGGAAAGUUUCGGCGGUUGGGGAUGGACUCGCGGCUUAUCAGCUUGUUGGUGGGGUAGUGGCUUACCAAGGCUUUGACGGGUAGCCGGCCUGAGAGGGUGACCGGCCACAUUGGGACUGAGAUACGGCCCAGACUCCUACGGGAGGCAGCAGUGGGGAAUACUGCACAAUGGGCGGAAGCCUGAUGCAGCAACGCCGCGUGCGGGAUGACGGCCUUCGGGUUGUAAACCGCUUUCGCCUGUGACGAAGCGUGAGUGACGGUAAUGGGUAAAGAAGCACCGGCUAACUACGUG